GUGGGGAAUAUUGCACAAUGGGCGCAAGCCUGAUGCAGCCAUGCCGCGUGUAUGAAGAAGGCCUUCGGGUUGUAAAGUACUUUCAGCGGGGAGGAAGGUGUUGUGGUUAAUAACCACAGCAAUUGACGUUACCCGCAGAAGAAGCACCGGCUAACUCCGUGCCAGCAGCCGCGGUAAUACGGAGGGUGCAAGCGUUAAUCGGAAUUACUGUGCGUAAAGCGCACGCAGGCGGUCUGUUAAGUCGGAUGUGAAAUCCCCGGGCUCAACCUGGGAACUGCAUUCGAAACUGGCAGGUUAGAGUCUUGUAGAGGGGGGUAGAAUUCCAGGUGUAGCGGUGAAAUGCGUAGAGAUCUGGAGGAAUACCGGUGGCGAAGGCGGCCCCCUGGACAAAGACUGACGCUCAGGUGCGAAAGCGUGGGGAGCAAACAGGAUUAGAAACCCCAGUAGUCC
rnacentral:rRNA from 1 species